ACCUCAUCCAGAGGGGCUGAGGGAUACGGCCCGAUGACGCCCCGGCAACCACCCCGCGCGCUCACCGCUGAGCGACCCGGCGGGGCAGGUGCCAAUUCCGUCCCCGCCGCAGGGUGCGAUGCGGGGAAAGAUGAGAG
rnacentral:ncRNA from 1 species